CCUACGGGAGGCAGCAGUAGGGAAUCUUCCACAAUGGGCGAAAGCCUGAUGGAGCAACGCCGCGUGGGUGAAGAAGGUCUUCGGAUCGUAAAACCCUGUUGUUAGAGAAGAAAGUGCGUGAGAGUAACUGUUCACGUUUCGACGAUAUCAAACCAGAAAGCCACGGCUAACUACUUGCCAGCAGCCGCGGGAAUACGUAGGUGGCAAGCUUUAUCCUGAUUUAUUGGGCGGAAAGGGAACGCAGGCGGACUUUUAAGUCUGAUGUGAAAGCCUUCGGCUUAACCGUAGAAGUGCAUUGGAAACUGGCAGACUUGAGUGCAGAAGAGGAGAGUGGAACUCGAUGUGUAGCGGUGAAAUGCUUAGAUAUAUGGAAGAACACCAGUGGCGAAAGCGGCUCUCUGGUCUGUAACUGACGCUGAGGUUCGAAAGCGUGGGUAGCAAACAGGAUUAGAUACCCCAGUAGCC
rnacentral:rRNA from 1 species